AGACACGUUUUCUUCAUCAUCUCCCGUUGCUUCGUUGUCCAAAUCGUCCGAAGAAAUAAUCAUUACUCUGGGUCUCACUUGCCAUUUGGCAACCUAUGGUUGUAUUUUGGUCAAAAUAUCAGCAAGUUGACGGAAUAAGGCAUGGUGCAGUAUAUAUCUCUGUCGGAUUAGUAACAUUCACAACUUGUCCGUAUAUAAGUACGACGUCCGAAAUAAAGGAAGGAAAUGACACCGUCAAGUAUUGAUCCCCAAUUGGGACAGCAGAUAACUCCAAAUGUGCCUUGAUUUUGUCCAUUGUCCACGCUUGAAAAGCUGGCUCACUAGGGAGCACCGCCGCACCUGGUCGCAGUGGACGCUCGGGAAAACCCUGUAAGGACGCCCAGCUCUCCAAGAACUGCUCCCGUUGUGAAAUAAUCGGUCAUUUCGGAUUCAAAUGUAGCGUCGUGGAAAAUAUCGGCGUUUGGGAUUAUUCCAUCGUCCUCUCUCGCCUGAUCAAUUACAAAAUGGCUCAUAGAUAUCUUGACUCCAUACUAUUUGUUGGUUUUAAAGUCGACUACCUGAAUUUGAUCAUAUGAUGGCUUGUAAUUAAUUUUCACAACUCCUGAAACAAUGAUGUAGAUUCCGUUAGCAUCGUCUCCGGCUGAGUAUAUUACGUCCCCAACGGCAAAUUGCAAAAUUGUAGCUUGUUUCUGAAGCCAAAGAACAAUUUAAUUGUUUAUUCUUACUUUCAGAAGAAGGAAUAUCAUAUUGGGAGUUUAAAUACCAAGAGAUAACUCAACAGAUCGGUACUGCCAGAAACCCAUUGCAAAUCUAUGUCUUCGAGGAGUCAUAUAGCUCGGAGUGUGCCACAGACCUUUCAUUUUACUUUCAAUCAAGUGAAGAAGAAUAUCGUACUCUUUUUCAUCUAUCAGACCUGUGCGGUUUAACCCA